AAAGCUCCGGCGCCCAAGGAUGGGUCUGCGGCCUAUCAGGGUUGAAGUGGGUGUAAUGUACCUACUAGCCUACGACGGGUACGGGUUGUGAGAGCAAGAGCCCGGAGAUGGAUUCUGAGACACGAAUCCAGGCCCUACGGGGUGCAGCAGGCGCGAAAACUUUACAAUGCGGGAAACCGUGAUAAGGGAAUCUCGAGUGCCAGCAUAUAAUGUUGGCUGUCCAGAUGCCUAAAAAGCAUCUGUUAGCAAGGGCCGGGCAAGACCGGUGCCAGCCGCCGCGGUAA
rnacentral:rRNA from 1 species